UUAGAUCGAUCACAGCGAGACAUGUUCUUCGAUCCCGCCGCCCCUCAUUCGUAUAUCUUUUGGCCUACGCGACAUCCAUCUUUUAGCUGCUUGUAUAUCUGUAUGCAAUGCGCUAGUCUAGUUUGUUCCGAUUUGCCUGAUGGGGAGGAUAUACAGUACUGUAAUAGUUUCUUCCCAUCUCGUUCUCUGCUCUCGGCUACAAAUUCGCGUAUACGUACCUUUCUUUCUUUCUUUCUUUCUUCAUGUUCUUCUUUUCCCCCAUCGAAUUAACGGGCAUCAUAUUGCAUCACACAACUGAAUCGGUUAUCUGCCUAACCCUUCCAUUCCAUGGAUGAUCAUCUACCCUAUCUGUUAUAUUGUCUCAGGAAUAAUGGAGCCCAACGCUGGCACUGCCGUCUUCCCUCUGCACCGCUGCAAAACAAUACACCUGGUUCCGACUCCAUCUACUUAUUAAUUGUUCUUUAUUAAAUACUCAAAACCAAACCUGUCAAUAAUACAAGCUGAUGCAUCGUGCAGCUGAGGCAUGCCCAAGGUGUGCACAACGUGGAAGGCGACAAGGAUCACAGUGCCUACAUGAAACCAGAGUUCUUUGAUGCUCGCAUCACUCCUUUGGGCUGGAACCAAGUAAGCUCCUGUUCUUCCUUCUUCUUUGCUCCGGAAGGCGACGCUGCACAUUGAUUGAUUAGGGUGAUUUGGUUCCAAUAACAUAAGCUGGAUGUCUUGGCCUACUAGAUAUUUUGUGCUUCUUUUCCAAAAUUCACUUCCGGUGAUCUAAACCCAACAAGUUGUACCCAGAAUGCUCUGUUCUGUUGAAAUGAGAUACUUUUAUUGACUAUAAAAUGUACAAAUCAAGGUGAACAGUAUUUUUAUUACCACUUUUUUUCUCGAAUAUGCAGGAGAACUGCAUAUCAUUGCAUUAAGAUAGGAGAAAGGCCAAAAUAGCCAUACAACACACACACUUACCCCUAAGGUUGCCACUGCAAUGUUUGCCAUGGUCCCUUCACCUACUAUUCACUGAAACUUACAUGGCCCAAGCCUGCACAAAUUAAAGCUCAUCUUGUUGUCAUGAACAGUAUUCUGGCACUGAUACGAGGUAUCACUUGUUGGCAUUACUUUUGACAAAGUAUAUUAGCCCUUCCCUCGUUGCUACAAAAUUAGAACAAAAAUGUCAUUUGCAUGAAUCGAUCUUCUGUUGACACUGUAUAUUAAUUCAUGUUCAAUUGAAAGUUGUGAGCCUAUUUUAGGUCCUGUUUGACUCAAAGUUUUUAUGUGUAAAUACAUUUGUUGAGUAUCUGGCCUUGCGUGUUGCAGGUAGUCUUCUCUUAUCAAAAUAUCAGUCAGUUGUUUCCAUAUGACAUUAUUUCAGUCCAAAUUCCUUGACUAAGAUUUACCCAAAUUGACUUAUAGGUCGACCGUCUACGAGAACAUGUGAAAAAAUGUGGACUUCCAGAAAAGAUUGAGCUGGUUAUUUGUUCUCCUUUGCUGAGGUACAGUUGUGUAUACCUUUGUGUGUGCAUGUGCGUGUGUCCUGCAUCAUCUUGUAGGAUUCCUUAUGUUUGAGAAACGAUGCUGUACACCACUGAAAUUUCUCUUCUUGUUUUCUAUGAAAAAUCUCAGCUACUAGGACAAAUUGGAGCUCUGUUUUAAAAAGACUAGGUUGACCAGAACCAUAUUUUCUUUUUUUCUUGAACUGCUUCUCUGCUAUGUAUGACAGUUGUAGUUUCAUGAUGAGUUAUUGUAUCGGUUUACCAUAGAAUUUUACACAUUAAAUCAUUAGCAAAACUCUGAAUUUCUUUUCGGUUCUAAAAGAUGGAGUAAAUUAUGACAUUUAGAUGUUCAGUCUUGUGUACAAGUUUGACUUCCAUAGAAUGGUUUAAGCAUAAUGUCACUGUUAUGUUUUUUUUUUGGUAUACAUUUUUACUGGAAACAUUCAACAUAAUAUGAAAACUUUUGUGCACAAUGGUAAAAUAUGUAUAAGGAAUAAAUACCAUUCAAGCAACAGGUCUGCAUAUCGUUGCUGAAUUGUCUGCAUAGAAGUGUGUCUUGAAUCCAGUACAGAAAAAAAAAAUUGCCUGAAGCUUUGGUUACACCAUUAUCACAUUUCAUCUCAAUAGUUGCUCAACCGUCUGUCAGUCUAGAUUUUUAUGAGAAAUCCAGUGCUGAGGCGUAGUGUACUCUGGGAGUAAAUUUCAGUGGUAUUUAAUUUAUAGAAUGAGCCACGCUCUCUUUAAUCCUGAAUUAAUCUCGCAGGACUAUGCAGACUGCAGUGGGUGUUUUUGGUGGUGAAAAUCAUACUAACGGGAUAAGUGCACCUCCACUAAUGGUGGAAAAUGCUGCAGACAGUGGACGUCCGGCAAUCUCAAGUUUUAACUGCCCACCAUUUCUUGCUGUUGAGGCCUGCAGGGAGCGCUUGGUACUUUUUCUGAAGGACACAUGUAAAACAUGAAUAAUCAUUUGAUUAAGAUUUUUUGUUAUCUGCAUCUUGCUAAAUAUUAAUUAUAUAAUUUCUCAGUUACAUCGGUUAUAGUUAACUAAACAGACUACUUUGGCUGUUCCAUGACACCUUCGUAUUUACUUUUGUUUUCUUGUUUUUGUUAAUUGCAGGGUGUCCAUCCUUGUGACAAGAGGAGGAGCAUAACAGAGUAUCGUACUCUGUUUCCUGCCAUUGAUUUUUCACUGGCAAGUAUCUUGUAUUCUUAACUCAUUAGCCAUUUUAUUGACCUGUGCAUUUUCAUUUGUGUACUAUAAUAUAUAUGUACUCAAUUUCUUUGCAGAUAGAGAAUGAUGAAGAUGUUCUUUGGGUACCGGAUGUCAGAGAAACCUUUGAGUCUCUCGCGGAGAGGGGUAUGAAGUUUAUUGACUGGUAAUUUUCUUCCCUGAGAUCAACCCAUCUCUUUAAAAUGAGUAUAUGAUCAUGAAACACUAUAACCACCUAGUAUUUAUCUAUGUUCAAUCCGGCUGCCUAUAUAAAAAAAUGUUUGUUAAAACGGUAUUGGAUAAUCGCAUGCUCAGCAUUUUUGUCAUACGUCUUGAUUCUAACCAAAUUAACUUUUUCUGGCAAAGAUUUAGCUUCUUUGUUCCUUCUUUAAUUUUGUUCUAGGACCUGGAAUUUAUAACAAAUCACUUGGACUCCUUUUUUAUGUUUUGAACAUAUUACACACUUGCAGGUUAUGGACAAGAGAAGAGAAAGAGAUAGCCAUAGUCACUCAUAGUGGUUUAUUAUGUCAUACCUUACGCAUGUACAGCAAAGAGUGUCAUCCUACCGUAAGGCAUGAAGUGAGCAAAUAGUAAGUAUCUUGACCUUUUAUUUUUCUUCCCCUUUUAUUUGUCAACUAAUGAAUCAUCAACGCAGAAACUUUCUCAAACUUAUGCAGAUUAACUGCUGACAUCAUGUUAUUACAUUCACAAUAUAUGCGCAAGAGGAUAAGCAUUAUGAGUUCCCUCCCUCCCUCUCGAUGCUGUACUGACCUUAAUCAAAACAUUAAAAUAUACAACCCAUGUUAAAUUAAUCAGGAGGACGAGUUGCUGACCUUCACUUGGUUUAUGCAGCUUUUCAAAUUGUGAGCUCCGAUCAUUGGUGCUGGUUGACAGGAGGUGAGUUCUGCGCCCUUCUGUGUUUGCUUGCAACAUAGAAUCACAAAAACGAAAUACACUUUGUAAGAGUCAUUAUGAUCUUUUCCACGUUGCAGCAUGCUUGGCUCAGAUACCCCCAGUUACAAUUACCCUGGGAAGAUCCCAGCCGGACUUGAUUUGCCUAGCGAUGUCGUGGAUGAGAAGUGCCUUGAGGAGGAAGCGCAAGAGAGAACAGAGCCUGCCUGAGGCUUCUUUGGUGUUCUACCACUGAUUCCUUGAUUCUUUCGUCAACCCAUUUUGAAACUUUGCUAGUAGUAUUCACUUAAAUCUAAACACCUGCAGAUUAGACUUACCAUUUGUUACUACAUUUGUUUUCUCUGAAAUUCACAGAAAUGAAAACGGAUUAUCACCCCUCUUUCAUUUGUGGUGAUGAGAAUUUUGGUACUGUUUUCUUGGAGAUGAUGAUAGGAUUGAGAUUGAUACUACAUACCUAUGGUGCUUCAUGCAUUGCUGCUCUGUAAAGUGUUUUCUUGAUUGUACGGGGUAAUUUCAUCAUCCUAGCGCUAUUGCCUGCUGGCGUCCCUACUGUUGAGAAGCUUAUGUACCAGCCUUCAUUUUGCUGAAGAUUAUGAUGUCAUGAACGUUGCAGCAUAUGAUCUGCAGUGUCAUCUCUUUUUUUCUUCUACUCUCUCGCUUUAAAUUGAAUUGUCGUAGUUGAUUUUAUUAUAAUUUGAUGGCAUUUGAGUUGUCAUUCUUUUCAGGCCUCAGCAGUCUUGAUAGUUUAUCAGCUAACUACACUGCAAUACACAUCAACUUAUCUACCCAUGGCUCAAAUGCACACAAGAAGCAACUUAUAUCUAUACAUGCACACAUGAAAAAUGAUUCUCAGCAACUCCCUAAAGAAAUACACAAACAUCCAGGGGCAGACCCAGGAAUUGACUCCGCGCCUAGGAAUUGACAUGACUGGGGCUGAUCCAAGCUCUGGGACUGACCCAAGCUUAAUAGAAACUCAAGUGUUUUGCACCUUUGAUAUUUGUAUAAAUUUUCAUGGACCUCAACUGCAUUUUUGGCCUCGGACCUAUAACAUCAAAUUAGUUUUUCAUUAAAUCCAUCAUGAACAUGAAUAUGUUUUGAUACUACAUUUAUUUGGUUUUAUAGAUAUUAAUGUAUUUUUCUAUAAACUUAGUCAAAGCUAAAGAUAUUUGAUUUAGAACAAAAACUAAAACAUCUUAUAUUUUAGAACAGAGGGAAUAUAGAAUCUUAAGUGCACAUGCACAUGCAUGAUCCGGCAACCUCUAGAUUCUUUGCUAAGACCAUUACUGACUUGAUGAUGCACAUGCAUAUGCAUGUGCUCAUCUGGUUAGAGGCAAACAAAGUUUCUGGACAUGGCUCAUUGCGGCUUGAUCUGUUACGUACUGGGCCUUGAGUUUAUUUAUUAUUUUUUUUACUUGUCAUAGCACCCAAGAGGUCAGCUGGUGCAGUGGGGCGGCGCGGUACGCAUGGAGCCCCCAGACCCUGGCUGAUGAAGCAGCUUUGAGGGCAGAGGACGUUCAUUCUCUGCUUCAUCAGAUGAGAUCAGAUGACGAGAUGACGAGAGAGAGAGAGAGAGAGAGAGCCAUGUCUUGUCGAUCAGGGAUGAAGCCAAGCGCUGGCACUGCUAUGUACCCUUUACACCGCUGCAAAACCAUACACCUGGUAUGUAAUGUUAAAGCUUCACAGAUUUGCAUGCUUUGAUUCAAUCUUCAACGGUUCAUCAUGAGUGCAGGUGAGGCACGCGCAGGGUGUUCACAACGUGGAAGGCGAGAAGGAUCGCAGUGCAUACAGGUCACCCGCGUUGCUUGAUGCUCCAAUCACUCCUUUGGGCUGGAGACAAGUAAGUGAGUUCCUCCAACGCACUGCUGCUCUUACAUUAAUUUAUCAGUUCUACGCCUCUAUUAACACAGAAGCGGUACACUGUUGCGCGUCAAAGUAAAAGUAGUCAUGCUUCAUGUCAAAUGUUAACUUCCAUCUAAGCAAGUUGGAUCCCAAAAUGCCCCAGUUUUGGAUCUCUCACCGUAGAAACGAUGAAUCUCUACUGCUACCAUCCAUCAUCAUAAGGCCAAGCAUAUGCUCAUAAUGACUUAGAAGGUCCCAAGGUUUGCAUUCAAUUUGUAUCCAAAAUAUAGCUAAGUAAAGAUUUUUUUUCAAUUCAAAGUCUUAAUUUGUAGUUCUUUAUAUUGGUUGAGUUUCUGCUUCUCAUCUAGUUUUGAUGAAACUAAUUACCAGAAAUUUUUUGCAAAACUUUCAUGCUCCGAGUUGCAUGAUUAAGAUUUACCUAAAUAUGUAGGUUGACAGUCUGCGAGAGCAUGUGAAAAAUUGUGGGCUUGCAAAAAAGAUUGAGUUAGUUAUUUGUUCCCCUUUACUGAGGUAUAGUAUUCCAUUAAUAUUCUUUGGACUUAUUUUCUUUCUUUGCUUUAAAGUUUAUUAUUUUGUUCAAGCAUUUUUUGGAGCCUUAAUCAUUUCCUGAUCAUGGCUCACAUAGUUAAAACAUAGAUUCUAUUUCCAAACUAUCGCCCAUGUCUGGCGAAGAUCUCCACUACAAUAAAUUAGACCUACAGUAAUCUAGUUUUAAAGGAUGCCCUUAGAGACUUCAAAAUAAAGAAAGCACAAACAUGACUACACUACUAAGAAAAAAAAUCAGUGAGGGUAAUGCCUCCAGAAGAAAACUGCUUGGCGCUCUUCCACUUCUUUCCGCUCUUUGUUCAACAAAUUUUCAUGAUGCAUAUGGAUUGGUAAAUCCAAAAUAGAUGUGUCCCCAUAUCACAACCAAAAAAUUGUGAAUAAACAUCUUUGCAACCCUUAGCUUAAAACCCUGAUAAUUCGAUGGUAACCGUAAGUCACCCAGUUGUGGUUGUGGUGCUGCCGGCCAUAGCUUGAGCUCUGCUCCCUGAAAAAAAAAUACCUCAUUGAGACAUAUCACAUAUGGGAUUUCAUCAUGAGCAGCUAGUACUAGCAAUCGGUGACUUUCGUGACUCUAAUUGCAAUGCCUUGGGGACAUAUCAACCCAUGGAUUGAGUAUUUACGAAGUUUAUUUUCAAGCUAUAUAACUGCUCAAAUGCGCAGCAAAAAGCUUUAUAUUCUUAGCUUUACCGAUGUUAUGAUCAAUAAAAUGAAAGCACUGAAAGAUUUGGUAAACUGUUGGCUGCCAAACUCGGCUCGCCACAGGUUUCAUGUUAUAUGGGCGCAAGGCCGAGGACAAUUACAAGAGUUUGUGUCGUGUACAAUAUGAGUUCUUGAAUCAAACUCUUCUAUCUCUAAGCUAUGAGAUUAAACCGAAUUCUAUCUCUAAGCCUUCUAGAGAACCUAUGCAUGUACCAUGUUAUAAUCCAUGUGUAACACGUCUUACAAACAUUAUCUUCAAACAAGCACAUCAUCAUCAAGAUUUGGGACAGCAUGCACCCGUUAUUUGACCAACCCUUUAGUCCUUGCUCAAAUUAAAAUAGCUAGCCUAAGCCCCAUUUUUAGGUAGUUUGAAAAUAGUUGCCUAAACUAACAAUGAUUGACUUUACCCCUACACUACUAAGUGUUCUAUCUCCAAGAAUACCAUAAGGGUGAGAAACCUUUCAAACGCCUAGUUUGUUUAAAAAAGACCACAUUAAUUAAUUCAUCAUAAGCAUUCUCCAAGUUAAGUUUUAAGAUAGCCUAGUUUUAUUAGGAAUUGAGCUCAUGUGAUAUUUAUAUAUUUGAACUCAGUUUAUAAAACUUAACGUAUCGUACUUUGUGUUGUAAUCUGUAUUUAUGUAGAAACUUUAUCACGUUUGUACUCUCUAUGCUCACCUUCAUGUGCGACUUCUGGUAUUUGUUUCGAUCGACAUAUUGGUUGAAUGCAGGGAGUCAAAUUAAAUUGUUAAGUUAAUGUAUCUGAUGUGUUCAAAUGAUGAUCAUUGCUCUUAAUUAGAAUUUUAGCUUAGCGGUUCUACCGCAGAUCUCACUAUAUUUAACCAAUUAACCCUGGACUAAUAUCACAGGACGAUGCAGACUGCAGUGGGGGUUUUUGGUGGUGAAAGCUAUACUGGUGGAGUUGGUUCACCUCCUUUAAUGGUGGAAAAUGCUGGACAAAGUGAACGUCUGGCUAUUUCAAGUUUGAACUGCCCACCAUUUCUUGCAAUUGAGACCUGCAGGGAGCGUUUGGUACUACCUUUUCCUGAAGAAUAUGUGUGCAAAACGUAGAGUCAUUUGAUUAAGACGUAGAGUCACAUGUAUUUUGCAAAACAAUGAUACGUACCACAAUCUGGUGCCUCAUUUACAUUAUUUUUGUUCACUAUUGACCAUUCCUGUCAUUCUGCUAUACCUUUUUUUCCUGUAUUUCAUUUUUUGUUUAAUUAAUUUUAAAAAAGCAAGGUGACCAUCCAUGUGACAAGAGGAGGAGCAUUACAGAAUAUCGAACUCUCUUUCCUGCAAUUGAUUUUUCACUGGUAAGUAUCUAUUACUGUCAAAUUGGAAAAUGGGCCUCUUCAUUUAAGUCGCAAGCUUGCAGCAGCAUACCGUAAUAUAUAUGGACUCACUUGUCACUGCAGAUAAUGAAUGAUGAAGAUGUUCUGUGGUUACCAGAUGUUAGAGAAGCACAUAAGUCGGUUGCAGCGAGGGGUAUGAAGUUCAUGGAUUGGUAACUUCUGUUUUCUAUGAUCAAUCGGUAUAUUUUUCGUAAGCACAACUAAGAGAAUCAAUAGCCGUUUUGUAUCCCUUACAUUUAUGCUGCAUGUGUUAUUCACAUAACUGGCUUUCGAUUGUGGCAUACUAUGCAUUUUUUGCACAAUGUCUUGGUUAGCAACAAGUCAGAUUUACUUUCCAUGGCACCCCCUUCAUUGUUCCUCUUCAAUCACCGCACUGGGCACAUCUUACUUCAUCUGAACUGAUAAUUGUUUGACGUGUUGGACAACAUCUGUAUAAAAUUUGUACAAUUGUGUACAGUAAAAACAAUUAAAGCUCUAGCUGUGGUACAGUAUAUUACCGCUUAGAUAUUAAAGUUAGUAUAUGAACGCUUUUGUUUUUGUAUAGUAGUGAAUUGUCACGGAGUAUUCUUUCUUUUGCGAUUAUUUUUCAGUUUAUAUGUUGGCUAUAGCCCUAGAAAGUGACCUAACUAACACUACUACAGAUUUCGCCAUCCCAACCACCCUAUCACUGCCAGUUUUUGAUGUAGUGGUACCACCGCCAGCCCGGAAGUAGGUGGCCGUGUCAGAGAUUCGGGCCGGCGGAGAUAAAUGGUCCAUCAAGCAUACCAGUUUAACAUUUAUGUAGCUAUAUUUAUUUUCCUUUUUUCUUGAAAUUACUUGUAGGUUAUGGACGAGAGAAGAGAAAGAGAUAGCUAUUGUCACCCAUAGUGUUCUAUUACAAGAUACCUUACGCAUGUACAGCAAGGAGUGCCAUCCAACCAUAAGAUACGAAAUGAGCAAGCGGUAAGGGUCUUGUCAUUGACUUUUUCGUGUCUUGCAACCGAGUGACAUUCUUUGAACUUGCGCAGAUAUAUUACUGAACAUCCAAUUCACAAGUUGUUCUUAUUAAUCAUUACGUGAUAAAUAAAUAGUGUAUGUCCAAUACAAAAGAGCAAGCAUUAAUUUUGAGUGCCUAUGAGACCUACUUGUAUAAACCAAUCAGUUCAAUCUGAAUGGCUAACUUUACGAGAAAAGAUGGGCAAUUUAAAUGGAAAUUUAAGUUAAACUGCAAUUAUUUUAUUGAUGACGUCCGUUAGCAUUCGAAGUAUAUCUUAUAUCAUAUUAAGUCAUAUACACCAGUCAGUUCAACUCAAAAAAACCUAACUUAUAGGUAGAAAAGACGGCAAUUCACUUAUAUUGAAAUAUAAAAUAGUAAAAUAUCAAAAAGCUAAAACAUGGUAGAUUUUAUCGAAGGAAUCUGUUGCUAACUUUAGCUUCGUCUUAUGUAGCUUCGCGAACUGUGAACUCCGAUCAAUGGUGCUGGUUGAUACAAGGUCGGUCCUUCUCUGCCUCCUUGUGUGGCGUGCUUCAAUUUUCUAUGGUUCUUGUUUUGCAGAUGGAAAAAGUCUAAAUAACCUCCCAAUGUAUCAAGGGUCGAGCAUAUCACCUCCUCAACUAUAAAACCAGAUUUUUUAUCCCCUCGCCUUUCCAAAACUAUUUAAAUGACCCCUAGGAGUGAUUUUGUUGGGUAGUUUUGCCUUGCUGGCAUGCUGAGGUCGACUAUGUGUUGCUGAUGUAGAUCGUUGCAUGCGGAGUGUCAGCCUCUCAUCUUCGUCUUCUUCGUCUGCUCGCUUGUCGCGGCAUGGCUCGUGGGGUCGGGGGCUGGGACGGAGGACCUUCUCCUAGUGGCAGGGAGUGGAACGAAGGCCUCCUCCAGGCAGGAUGUGCGACCGGGGGCCGGGGAUCUCCUCCUAGCGGCAAGGCGCGGCCAGAGCCUCCUGGCGGCGUGGCGCGUGGGGUCGGGGGCGGGGAUGGAGGACCUCCUCCCAGCGCCAGCGGCGAGGCACGGCUAGAGGCCUCCUCCCCGGCGCGCGUGGCUGGGGCUGGACAAAGGCCGCCUCCCAACGGGAAUCGCGGCCGGGGGCCGGGAUGAAGGACCUCGUCCCAGCGGCCGGCGAGGUGCGGUCGGGGGCCGCUUCUCGUCGGUGAGACACGGUCGUGGGCCUCUUCCCGUCAGUGAGGCGUGUGGGGGCUCGGUCCUGGAUCGGGGCCUCCUCCUGACGACGCGAGGUGCCGCAGGGGUGGAGGCGGGGGAGACAGGGGAAAGGCAGGGGAAGGGUAUGACACGUGGGUCCAGGCUGUGUAUACACCUUGACAUGUGGGUCAUUGCCACGUCGUCGUCCAUGUCAGACGCCACGGUGGCAAAAUCAUGCUCUAGGGAGUUAUUUAAAUGGUAUUGUACAUUUGAGGGGGUUAAACAUCCGGUUUUAGAAUUGGGGGGGAGGGGAGAGAGAAGUAUUCGACCUACAAUAGUUUGGGGGUUUAUAUAGAUUUUUUCCUUUUGUAGAUAUUCACAUGUCAUUCUUUUUCUAAUAUUGACAAUAUGUUCCAUUCGGCAGUAUGCUUGGGUCUGCAGGUUCCCCUAGUUUGAACUACCCAGGCGAGAUCCCAACCGGACUUGACCAGCCCAGCGAUGUCAUAGAAAAUGAGGAAGCAUCUUGAGGAGCCUCAUGCACGUACGCGUGCGCUGAUAAAUUUUAAGAUUGAUGAAAGGCACUGCAGAUGCUUUUUUGUCGAUACGUACCAGGUUCUAUAUAAGAAACCUAACCAAGUUGAGGUAUUGGGUAAGAAUCAUUAUUCAUCUGAGCACUCAUCUAGGAGUAAAAGAAUCCAUUGGGUACCAUUCUUCAUG
rnacentral:lncRNA from 1 species